rnacentral:rRNA from 1 species
GAUGAACGCUAGCGGCAUGCUUAACACAUGCAAGUCGGACGGGAAGUGGUGGUUCCAGUGGCGUGCGGGUGAGUAACGCGUGAGAACCUGCCCUUGGGAGGGGAACAACAACUGGAAACGGUUGCUAAUACCCCGGAGGCUGAGGAGCAAAAGGAGGAAUCCGCCCGAGGGGGGGCUCGCGUCUGAUUAGCUAGGUGGUGAGGCAAUAGCUUACCAAGGCGAUGGUCAGUAGCUGGUCCGAGAGGAUGAUCAGCCACACUGGGACUGAGACACGGACCAGACUCCUACGGGAAGCAGCAGUGGGGAAUGUUCCGCAAUGGGCGAAAGCCUGACGGAGCAAUGCCGCGGGGAGGUAGAAGGCCCACGGGUCAUGAACUUCUUUUCUCAGAGAAGAAGCAAUGACGGUAACUGAUGAAUAAGCAUCGGCUAACUCUGUG